rnacentral:lncRNA from 1 species
GACCUAAUUCUGUUGAUGGAAAUUCAGGAGACGUUUGGAAAAACGUAUCUAUAUCCCCCUACCUAGCUUUGAGAGUCGGAAGGAGCUUAUACGGAUCAAUUUGAAAAGUAUUGAGGUACUAUAUCCCCCUACCUAGCUUUGAGAGUAGGAAGGAGCUUAUACGGAUCAAUUUGAAAAGUAUUGAGGUAAGCAGUGUUUUGAAAAUGUUUUCUCAGUCCACUUUCUCGUCUUUUGUAUGUCCCUGUUAGCUCCUCAUGUAUCUGUCUAUAGCUUCUUUUGAAUGUAAUUGCCCUUGCAGUAUUUAUUGUGUUUAUCAAAGCUAUGAUUAUUAGUUCAUUAUGGGAAAAUUCUACUGUAUGAUUGG